rnacentral:rRNA from 1 species
GAUGAACGCUGGCGGCGUGCCUAAUACAUGCAAGUCGAGCGAACAGAUGAGGAGCUUGCUCCUCUGACGUUAGCGGCGGACGGGUGAGUAACACGUGGAUAACCUACCUAUAAGACUGGGAUAACUUCGGGAAACCGGAGCUAAUACCGGAUAAUAUAUUGAACCGCAUGGUUCAAUAGUGAAAGACGGUUUUGCUGUCACUUAUAGAUGGAUCCGCGCCGCAUUAGCUAGUUGGUAAGGUAACGGCUUACCAAGGCAACGAUGCGUAGCCGACCUGAGAGGGUGAUCGGCCACACUGGAACUGAGACACGGUCCAGACUCCUACGGGAGGCAGCAGUAGGGAAUCUUCCGCAAUGGGCAAAGGCCUGACGGAGCAACGCCGCGUGAGUGAUGAAGGUCUUCGGAUCGUAAAACUCUGUUAUUAGGGAAGAACAAAUGUGUAAGUAACUAUGCACGUCUUGACGGUACCUAAUCAGAAAGCCACGGCUAACUACGUG